CCCCUAAGUGCCUCUGUGUCUCAGGUGGAUCCUUCCAAGCUCUUCCUCUUGCAGCUGUUCCUAAUCAAUGCUGAGAGCAAGAGUAGGAAGGAUUCCCAAGGGGUUGUAGUGCUCAUCUGGGAAGUGGGAGUGCACAGUUCUAGGUGCAGGGCUUUAGAAUUACUGUUUUAGCUUAAGGUUUCAGUUACUGAAGUAACUGGUGUAUAAAUUGAAUGUGGAGAAUCUGGAUAAAAUAUAGUGGUAGUUGGGAGUGUUGCUGUAUCUUUCUAAUUCCUACAGUUUCUUACUGCAGGAUUCUAUUUGAAUUGAGCAAAGCUGGCUAGUUGUUUGAGUGAUUUUCAGAUAAGGUCUGGGAAAUCAGGCAAGAACAGUGUUUUAGAUUAUUGAGAAAGAUGAAGAAAUUGCUUGAUGUCAGCAUGUUGAUGAUGGGAGGACACUUGCUUCUUUCUUCUCUUCCUGGUAUGAGGAACAAGAGAGGUACAGGUGGUCUGCCUGAUCCUCUUUUGUGCCCUGGCAAAGGAAAAGGUAGAGAGGAAAGGAGUAGGUGUCAGCACAGUAUGGCAGAGUGCAAGAAGUAAGGAAAAUCAGAGUUAAGCAGAUGUAACUGAGGUAUCAGUUUAAAAAACAUAGCUAACAAUCUUGGGAUAGCUCUUGUAUUGAACCUCCAUCUGACAAAACCAGAAUGACUCAAUCUUACUCAUAUCAUGAGAUCUCCCCCUUUGAAAAGUCAAGCCUCUGCUGUUAAUGCUAAACAUCUCCCUCUUUGUUUCUGGCAUGAACGCUCUCACCAGGUAACCCUGAAGUCCUGCAAGAUGUUGCCUCAGAGAUAAGCCUCUCCUCAGGGAAUCAUAGAAACAAGGGUGGAAAGCACUUCAAGGGGUA
rnacentral:lncRNA from 1 species